GAUUUCUGACGAACCGGAGUGGCCCGUUUCCUUUCUGGGAAUGAGUGCCGCUUUGAGUUUGUCAUCCUUCCAGAGAGCUGCGUCUACCGUUCAUUCGGCCGGACGUACGCGAUCUGGAUCUAUUACUUUGAAAAAAUUAGAGUGUUUAAAGCAGGCUUAGGCUAUGAAUACAUUAGCAUGGAAUAAUAAUUUAGGACUUUGGUUCUAUUUUGUUGGUUUCUAGGACCGAAGUAAUGAUUGAUAGGGAUAGUUGGGGGUGCUAGUAUUCCGCGGCCAGAGGUGAAAUUCUUGGAUUCGGUCAAGACUAACUUAUGCGAAAGCAUU
rnacentral:rRNA from 1 species